rnacentral:rRNA from 1 species
AUUGAACGCUAGCGGGAUGCUUUACACAUGCAAGUCGAACGGCAGCGCGGACUUCGGUCUGGCGGCGAGUGGCGAACGGGUGAGUAAUGUAUCGGAACGUGCCCAGUAGCGGGGGAUAACUACGCGAAAGCGUAGCUAAUACCGCAUACGCCCUACGGGGGAAAGCAGGGGAUCGUAAGACCUUGCACUAUUUGAGCGGCCGAUAUCGGAUUUGCUAGUUGGUGUGGUAACGGCUCACUAAGGCGACGAUCCGUAGCUGGUUUGAGAGGACGACCGGCCACACUGGGACUGAGACACGGCCCAGACUCCUACGGGAGGCAGCAGUGGGGAAUUUUGGACAAUGGGGGCAACCCUGAUCCAGCCAUCCCGCGUGUGCGAUGAAGGCCUUCGGGUUGUAAAGCACUUUUGGCAGGAAAGAAACGUCGCGGGCUAAUACCCCGUGGAACUGACGGUACCUGCAGAAUAAGCACCGGCUAACUACGUG